rnacentral:rRNA from 1 species
AUUGAACGCUGGCGGCAUGCUUUACACAUGCAAGUCGAACGGUAACGCGGGGCAACCUGGCGACGAGUGGCGAACGGGUGAGUAAUGCAUCGGAACGUGCCCGGUAGUGGGGGAUAACUGCUCGAAAGAGCAGCUAAUACCGCAUACGACCUGAGGGUGAAAGGGGGGGAUCGCAAGACCUCUCGCUAUUGGAGCGGCCGAUGUCGGAUUAGCUAGUUGGUGGGGUAAGGACCCACCAAGGCGACGAUCCGUAGCUGGUCUGAGAGGACGACCAGCCACACUGGGACUGAGACACGGCCCAGACUCCUACGGGAGGCAGCAGUGGGGAAUUUUGGACAAUGGACGCAAGUCUGAUCCAGCUAUGCCGCGUGCGGGAAGAAGGCCUUCGGGUUGUAAACCGCUUUUGUCAGAGAAGAAAUCUUCUGGGUUAAUACCUCGGGAGGAUGACGGUAUCUGAAGAAUAAGCACCGGCUAACUACGUGCCAGCCGCCGCAGUAA